rnacentral:rRNA from 1 species
AUUGAACGCUGGCGGCAGGCCUAACACAUGCAAGUCGAGCGGAUGAAGAGAGCUUGCUCUCUGAUUUAGCGGCGGACGGGUGAGUAAUGCCUAGGAAUCUGCCUGGUAGUGGGGGAUAACGUUCCGAAGGGAACGCUAAUACCGCAUACGUCCUACGGGAGAAAGUGGGGGAUCUUCGGACCUCACGCUAUCAGAUGAGCCUAGGUCGGAUUAGCUAGUUGGUGAGGUAAUGGCUCACCAAGGCGACGAUCCGUAACUGGUCUGAGAGGAUGAUCAGUCACACUGGAACUGAGACACGGUCCAGACUCCUACGGGAGGCAGCAGUGGGGAAUAUUGGACAAUGGGCGAAAGCCUGAUCCAGCCAUGCCGCGUGUGUGAAGAAGGUCUUCGGAUUGUAAAGCACUUUAAGUUGGGAGGAAGGGUUGUAGAUUAAUACUCUGCAAUUUUGACGUUACCGACAGAAUAAGCACCGGCUAACUUCGUGCCAGCAGCCGCGGUAA